rnacentral:rRNA from 1 species
UUUGGUGAUAAUAGCAACAGGGAUACACCUGGUUUACAUUUCGAACCCAGUAGUUAAGUCUGUUUACGCCUAAGAUACUUAGUUAUUUACUAGGGAAAAUCGGUAAUCGCCAAAC